GUGGCUAUGGAAAGGGAGGUGGUGCUGGAGGUGGAGGUGGUUAUGGAAAGGGCGGCGGUGUAGGAGUAGGGGGUGGUUAUGGAAAGGGUGGCGGUGCUGGAGCAGGAGGUGGUUAUGGAAAGGGUGGCGGUGCUGGAGCCGGAGGUGGUUAUGGUGGAGGAGGUGAAGGUGGAGGUUAUGGGAAGGGUGGCGGUGCUGGAGUUGGAGGUGGUUACGGUGGAGGAGGUGAGGGUGGUGGAGGCUAUGGGAAGGGGGGUGGUGUAGGUGGUGGAGCCGGUGGUGGUAGUGGUGGAGGUUAUGGUGGAGGUGAAGGAGGUGGUAAGGGUGGCGGUUAUGGAGCUGGAGGUGGACAUGGUGGAGGUGCUGGAGGAGGUUAUGGAGGAGGAGGAGCUAGUGGAGGUGGAUAUGGCAGCGGUGGAGGAGCAGGUGGUGGAUACGGAGGUGGCGCUGGUGGUGGUUCAGGCUAUGGUGGUGGACAUGCACGCUGAGAACCAAUGCGUGCAUUUUAUAUCUACGCUUUGUUAGAGUGCUUCCCAACAAUAAGUAUUAUCUAAGCAUCUCAUGAUCUGUUUUCAUUUGCCGGAUAAAUUCAGAAUUUCAUGGAUUUCAGCUCUGAAGAGUUUUAACUUUUAAGUGUUUUGGUUAUUCAGCUGUUCCCUUGGCUGCUGAUCAAUGUAACCGCACUUAAUAUCCGGUGGUCAUUUUAAAUAUGUAUCCCUUGUUCAUGUUUCCAAAAAGUAACAAUAAUAAAGAUAUGUACCCCUUGUUUAAUCUACUA